rnacentral:tRNA from 1 species
CAAGCUAAAGCUUUGAAAGAAGCGUUUUAGUUACAUUAAAGAGAUUGUUUUAUAAAUAUAGUUUGA